UGGGGAAUAUUGGGCAAUGGGGGAAACCCUGACCCAGCAACGCCGCGUGAGGGAAGAAGGUUUUCGGAUUGUAAACCUCUGUCUAAGGGGACGAAGGAAGUGACGGUACCCUUGGAGGAAGCCCCGGCUAACUACGUGCCAGCAGCCGCGGUAAUACGUAGGGGGCGAGCGUUGUCCGGAAUUACUGGGCGUAAAGGGUGCGUAGGCGGCUAUGCAAGUCAGAUGUGAAAGACUCCGGCUUAACCGGGGGUGUGCAUAUGAAACUGCGUGGCUUGAGUGCGGGAGAGGCAAGUGGAAUUCCUAGUGUAGCGGUGAAAUGCAUAGAUAUUAGGAGGAACACCAGUGGCGAAGGCGACUUGCUGGACCGCAACUGACGCUGAGGCACGAAAGCGUGGGGAGCAAACAGG
rnacentral:rRNA from 2 species